GCUGGGAGUUGUGUCGUGCUCCUGUAAGCCAGCAACUCGGAGGCAUGGUUGGUGGGCCGAUUUGAGGAUGGAUGUCUUGGUAGUCGGUCUUUUAUGGCAAUCUAGUGUCCGCGCUAAGCUGGGCAUCAAUGUAGUGCUGACGAGGGAGCUCAUUAGGACCAGGUUGCUUUAGGAAGGUUAAUUCGACCCAGGGCGGAAAUGCAACAGGCAAGAAACCUUGUGUCGAAAAGUAGUGGGAUAAAACCUGUCAAUAGUAGUCGGCUGACAGCCUGUUCGAUACAACUGAAUACUGGCAGAA
rnacentral:SRP_RNA from 1 species